CUAGUACUCCCUCUGUGUCGGAGAAAUGGAUGUAUCUAGACGUAUUUUAGUUCUAGAUACAUCCAUUUUUAUCCAUUUAUACGACAAGUAAUUCCGGACGGAGGGGGUAUGUU
rnacentral:pre_miRNA from 1 species